CAAGCCCUUGAUCAUGUGGACCCUUACUUAAAAAGGCAUGGAUGUGAUCUAAUAUAAGAUUAUUCCUUGAUUUUCUAAGGUUCCUCACGAUGUGCACACAUGAAGGUUGUUGGACCGUUCAGAUGCUCCUUCAGCGCGCCGUCAUCCUCUUGUCCUCUAGCCAACGUCGAUGACAUUUUGGCAUUGAGGAGAAAGUAUUGCAUCACACAUGUGGAUGUUGCUUGAUUCCCUGGAUACUGGAUCUCCUUGGGAAAAAGAAUACAUGUGUUUCAUCACUCUCCAUUAAUUAUAUGGGGUUUUCACAUUUACAAGUGUUGCAUUUAACGGGAUUUGAGAGGAAAGAGCAGUACUGUUUGUUUAUUUCAAUGUUGAACGUGGUUCCGACUAAAAACGCAAGCCGACAGAGGAGUUUCAGUUUCUUGUGAGGCAGCAUGCUACUGAAUGGAAAAGCCAAGUUGAUACACAGGAACCUGCCGCCCCAAGCACUAGCCAGAAAUGGAGCCCCCCUCCAGAGGAUUGACUGAUGAUUAGUUGUGAUGGAGCUUACUCAAAAAGCACUUCUGAAGGAGGGUAGGGUGUAGCAGCUUGUGAUCAUGAAGGUGACUUUGCCGCUUCUGGACAGCAGAGUCAAGCUAUGCAUGCCGAAGCAUUCACGGUCAAAAAGGCGCUGUUUUUAGCCGAGCAGAGGGGGAUUGGAAGGAUCGUUUUGGAAACUGAUUGCAGGAACCUGAUUGCGGCUGUGAAAUUCAAUGCCUGCAACAGUUCAAGCCUUGGUCAGUUAUUCUUAGAGAUCAAAUACAUGUUUUCUUUGUCCUUUAUUCAGUACUGAGUUGAAUUUUGCCCGCGGGCGUGUAAUCAGGUACCCAUUUGCUAGCAGCAAACGAUGCAGGGGAAAGCCACGGUUUCCAUGCUACUUGGGAAUUGGGACGUGAGCUACCAUGAUGAUGUAAACCAUUUGGUGGCCUGUUAUUUAACUGGGCCUUAAUGGAAUACGAGUGUUCCAUUCAAAAGAAAGGAUGUGGUUCGACGCCAAAUUGCAUUUUAGUA